AUUGAACGCUGGCGGCAUGCCUUACACAUGCAAGUCGAACGGUAACGGGCCUUCGGGUGCCGCCGAGUGGCGAACGGGUGCGUAAUACAUCGGAACGUGCCCGAUCGUGGGGGAUAACGAGGCGAAAGCUUUGCUAAUACCGCAUACGAUCUACGGAUGGAAGCAGGGGACCGCAAGGCCUUGCGCGGACGGAGCGGCCGAUGGCAGAUUAGGUAGUUGGUGGGAUAAAAGCUUACCAAGCCGACGAUCUGUAGCUGGUCUGAGAGGAUGAUCAGCCACACUGGGACUGAGACACGGCCCAGACUCCUACGGGAGGCAGCAGUGGGGAAUUUUGGACAAUGGGCGCAAGCCUGAUCCAGCCAUGCCGCGUGCAGGAUGAAGGCCUUCGGGUUGUAAACUGCUUUUGUACGGAACGAAAAGCCUUCUUUUAAUACAGGAGGGUCAUGACGGUACCGUAAGAAUAAGCACCGGCUAACUACGUG
rnacentral:rRNA from 1 species